UGGAAACAUGUAAGACACCGGCCCUCGAGGCCUGACUCUGGACACCCCAGACUUAAGUCAUUGCCUGACUGGUGCAUUUUUGCCUUUUUCGUUUGUUUAGCAGAUGAACCGCUUUCCUGUGCUGGUUCGUCCUCAUAAAUCAGUGACUGUGGCAUAAGCGGUCAAAUGCUCUUCUGAAGGGACUUUGCAGAAGCAAACGCUCGACUCAAAGUAGAGUCACGCCAUUUAGAACAUGCCAGAGCAGCUUUAUGUUCUAAAAGCUUCGAACUCCAGCCUGCGGCGCUCACCUGUGUCCAUAUGGAGUGGUGGCUCAGGAAGCAGCCGAUCUCCCCCCGAGUUAGGACUCGCCCCGAGUACGGGUCCUUAUAGCCCGGCAGCAU